AUUGAACGCUGGCGGUAUGCUUAACACAUGCAAGUCGAACGGUAGCAGCUCUUCGGAGGCUGACGAGUGGCGGACGGGUGAGUAACGCGUAGGAAUCUGCCUAUUAGUGGGGGACAACUUGUGGAAACGCAAGCUAAUACCGCAUACGCCCUACGGGGAAAGGAGGGGAUCUUCGGACCUUUCGCUAAUAGAUGAGCCUGCGUUAGAUUAGCUAGUUGGUGGGGUAAGAGCCUACCAAGGCGACGAUCUAUAGCUGUUCUGAGAGGAAGAUCAGCCACACUGGGACUGAGACACGGCCCAGACUCCUACGGGAGGCAGCAGUGGGGAAUAUUGGACAAUGGGCGAAAGCCUGAUCCAGCAAUACCGCGUGUGUGAAGAAGGCCUUAGGGUUGUAAAGCACUUUCAAUUGGGAGGAAAAAACAAGGGUUAAUACCCCUUGUCUUGACAUUACCUUUAGAAGAAGCACCGGCUAACUCCGUGCCAGCACGCCGACGGUAA
rnacentral:rRNA from 1 species